CCUACGGGUGGCAGCAGUGGGGAAUAUUGGACAAUGGGCGAAAGCCUGAUCCAGCCAUGCCGCGUGUGUGAAGAAGGCCUUCGGGUUGUAAAGCACUUUCAGUGGGGAAGAAAGCCUUGGGGCUAAUACCCUCGAGGAAGGACAUCACCCACAGAAGAAGCACCGGCUAACUCCGUGCCAGCAGCCGGGUAAUACGGAGGGUGCGAGCGUUAAUCGGAAUUACUGGGCGUAAAGCGCGCGUAGGCGGUCUGAUAAGCCGGUUGUGAAAGCCCCGGGCUCAACCUGGGAACGGCAUCCGGAACUGUCAGGCUAGAGUGCAGGAGAGGAAGGUAGAAUUCCCGGUGUAGCGGUGAAAUGCGUAGAGAUCGGGAGGAAUACCAGUGGCGAAGGCGGCCUUCUGGACUGACACUGACGCUGAGGUGCGAAAGCGUGGGUAGCAAACAGGAUUAGAUACCCGAGUAGUC
rnacentral:rRNA from 1 species